rnacentral:rRNA from 1 species
AGAGGAAGUAAAAGUCGUAACAAGGUCUCCGUAGGUGAACCUGCGGAGGGAUCAUUACCGAGCGAGGGCCCCCGGGCCCGACCUCCCACCCCCUGACAAACGACCGGUUUGCCUCGGGGGCGACCCGGCCGUCCGGAAGGAGAGAGCCGGGUGCCCCCGGAGGACACUCACUCUGCGUCUUUGCGUCGGAGUCCGAAAGAAAAUCGCAAGCAAAACUUUCAACAACGGAUCUCUUGGUUCUGGCAUCGAUGAAGAACGCAGCGAAAUGCGAUAAGUAAUGUGAAUUGCAGAAUUCAGUGAAUCAUCGAAUCUUUGAACGCACAUUGCGCCCUUUGGUAUUCCGAGGGGCAUGCCCGUUCGAGCGUCAUUUCAACAAAUCAAGCCUGGCUUGGUGUUGGGCCCCCGGGGGUGACCCGGAGCCCCAAUGUCCGCCGGCCGGACGACCCGGACCCCAGCGUUGUGUUUUAUUCAAUCCGCUGGCGGGGAAGGGCGGUCGCGCCGUCAGUAACAAACUCACGAAAGAUUGACCUCGGAUCGGGCAGGGAUACCCGCUGAACUUAAGCAUAUCAAUAAGCGGA